AGUCCCCACAGCACUCCAAGUCGCAGGGUGCCCUCCAGCCAGAGUCCUGGCAGCCCCCGGGGAAGCAGAUUUCCCAGAGAUCCUUGUAGCAACCCAAGUAAAGCCAUGUCCAACAGCAGCAGAGAGACCCAGGGCCUCAGCCGCAGAUCAUGCUGCCCAUGGAGAGGCCCAUCCCCCGGUACUGCAGCAUCAUGUUGGAAAGCAGCUUGGAGGCUGCAGACACGGAGAUGCGUUCUCCAUUCCGAAGAUAAUACAGCCUGUGGGAGCGAGGAGGAGUGAGGAGGAGGAGGAGGAGGAGGAGGCCUCAGGGGCAGCUAUGCCUGCAUUCCCUUUCUCCCAUAGCACGAGGGAGCAAGGACCGUACAGAUGAGUG
rnacentral:lncRNA from 1 species